rnacentral:lncRNA from 1 species
GAUUAUUAAGCUAGCCUAUUUACACGGCAUACAAAUCAUGCCAUCCCAUAAUAGGGGUGGAUCCAACGCGGGGGCUGGGGGGCUGGAGCCCCUCUACCCCAUGGAUCCCAUAGAGCCCUUCAAAGCAUCCCCCUACAAAUUUCAGCCAUAGAUGAAAAGAAGGAAGAAGAAAAGGAGGAGGAAGAAGAAGGGAAAGAGAGGAGGGAGGAAGAAGGGGAAGAUGAGCCCCCUCUAAUCUUUGGCCUCAGAUCCACCCCUGCCCAUAAUCAACACUAAUGCCGACAUGACAUGCUGUUACUUCACCUUCACGAAGGAAACAGCAAAAGACUAAACAAAAUUAAAGACACAAUCAAGAUGGUCAUCAAGCGUUAUUUGUAACAAUCACCUUGAACCAGAAGAAGAAUUUUCUCAGUAGGCUCAGUCUCUCAUCACGGCCAGCUGACUUUAUUUGCACAGCAAGAUCUGCAUGAUUUACCAAACAUCAGUUUUGCUCACGAAGUACUAUAUGCAACAAACCAAUUACUCUCUUCUUGCAUUUUUUUAGGUUAAUAAAGCAAUGAAAC